CAGAUUGCUGACUGGUUCGGACACAGGGAUUUGCUCUGCAUGUGCAAAUGCAGGACAAGAUCCUGAAGGAAGGUUGAUACAAGCCUUCAGUGGACAGCCAAGAGGGGGAGAGUGGGACGAAGACUGGCUGAUGGAGCUACUGUUGGUGGAUUGCUUUUUGUGCACUCCAGAAGAAGGUGGAGUUUUUGUUUUGGCUGGAGCACUAAACUACCCCGAGAGAGGAAAACUGAGCCUCAUCCUCCACAGUCAGAGAUUUGAUGAUGCCAUUGGCGGUUGACUGGUCUAUUGUCCCUAAUAAGUGCUGGUCUUUUCUAGAG